rnacentral:rRNA from 1 species
AACGCGAAGAACCUUACCCGGGUUUGACAUGGAUCGGGAGUGCUCAGAGAUGGGUGUGCCUCUUUUGGGGUCGGUUCACAGGUGGUGCAUGGCUGUCGUCAGCUCGUGUCGUGAGAUGUUGGGUUAAGUCCCGCAACGAGCGCAACCCUUGUUCACUGUUGCCAGCACGUUAUGGUGGGGACUCAGUGGAGACCGCCGGGGUCAACUCGGAGGAAGGUGGGGAUGACGUCAAGUCAUCAUGCCUCUUAUGUCCAGGGCUUCACGCAUGCUACAAUGGCUGGUACAGAGAGUGGCGAGCCUGUGAGGGUGAGCGAAUCUCGGAAAGCCGGUCUCAGUUCGGAUUGGGGUCUGCAACUCGACCUCAUGAAGUCGGAGUCGCUAGUAAUCGCAGAUCAGCACGC